GCGCUCAUAGCUCAGCUGGAUAGAGCACUUGGCUACGAACUAAGGGGUCGGGAGUUCGAAUCUCUCUGAGC
rnacentral:tRNA from 2 species